AUGCCGGAUAAGCUUCCUGACUCCUCCUCCAAUGACACGCUUGCACCUUGGAAGAUGAGUUUGAAAAGCGUACUAAAGACAAUUAUCAACAACAUGUAAUGCUGAACGAUUCCACUUCCACAGGCAUCAAGCAGGACUCUUGUUUGAAUACACUUAAAUACUUCCAUGUAACAGAGGGUGUUUGUGUAGACAAACUUCCUUUAGAAGUAAAGCUGUUGCUGCGACAGUUAAUAUAUGAAGAUAAUCUGUUUACAUUGGAGCAGCUUAACAAUAGAAUAUCAAGCUUUGAUUACGGUUACAUUAUUGAAAAGAACAAGCCAUCUGUGAUUCUGAAUUUUAGAACAAAUGAAAAUGCUGUCAGGCAGACAGCCAGCCAAAUGUGGUGUCUCUUACUCUUUUUGCCACUAAUGAUAGGAGACCUAGUUAGUAGGCAGAGUUCACAUUGGAAACUUUCUUCUUCUGAGAAGAAAUAUGCAGUAUAGUAUUUGCACCUGUAGUCACAAACGGACUAGGUGUGUUUUUAAAGAGGUUGAUUAUAGACCAUCAUAACAUGUUUAAGACACUAUACCCAGACAGGCGACUUAUCCCUAAGCACCAUUUUAUGAUUCACUAUGGUAGAAUGAUUGUAAUGUUUGGACCGCUUGUCAAGUUAUGGUGCAUGAGGUUUGAAAGUAAACACUGUCCAAUGAAACGUCAGGCUCAUGUAGUCUAUAACUUUAAAAACAUAUCCAAAACACUGGCUUACAAGAACCAAAUACAGAGUAUGUACAGCUGGAAAUUUGGGAAGCCACUUGAGAGAGAAAUAUCAGUUCCAAAUGCUUUUCCUGUCAUUGUAGGCUCUUUAGAACUCGGUGAGCGGCUCCUUGAAAAACUGCAUACAAAGGAUGAAAAUCUUGGCAUUUUAAGCACGGUUCAUGUUGCACACACAGUUACUAUGCUUAUGUGAUGGGGGAAAAAAGAUGUGUUUGAAGUGGUUAGCAUUAAUGACCUUGCAGAUGUCAGACCAUUGAUGUCAAGUUUCAGGGGAGAUAGAGUUUGCUUAAAUCCCUGGUACAAAAUUUUGUAAGUUUAAAUAAAUGUUAUAUUCUUAAAAAGUAUUGAUUGAUU
rnacentral:lncRNA from 1 species